AAUUCGUUGCUACACGAAGAACCUUACCUGGGUUUGACAUAUAGGUUGUAGGGAACUGAAAAGGGACCGACCCUUCGGGAGCCUAUACAGGUGUUGCAUGGCUGUCGUCAGCUCGUGUCGUGAGAUGUUCGGUUAAGUCCGCUAACGAGCGCAACCCUCGUCGUAUGUUAUAUGUGUCAUACGAGACUGCCGGUAAAAGCCGGAGGAAGGUGAGGAUGAUGUCAAGUCAGCAUGACCUCUAUAUCCAGGGCUACACACACGCUACAAUGGUCUGUACAAUGGGUAGCCAAGCCGCGAGGCGGAGCCAAUCCUGAAAGCAGGCCUCAGUUCAGAUUGCAGUCUGCAACUCGACUGCAUGAAGCCGGAGUUGCUAGUAACCGCAGGUCAGCAAUACUGCGGUGAAUACGUUCCCGGGUCUU
rnacentral:rRNA from 1 species